AGAGUUCGAUUCUGGCUCAGGACGAACGCUGGCGGCGUGCUUAACACAUGCAAGUCGAACGAGACGAUUGAAAGCUUGCUUUUGAAAGUCGAGUGGCAAACGGGUGAGUAACGCGUAGACAACCUGCCGUAAAGAUGGGGACAACAGUCCGAAAGGACUGCUAAUACCGAAUGUUGUGGAACUUCCGCAUGGGAGCUCUACUAAAGAUGGCCUCUACUUGUAAGCUAUCGCUUUACGAUGGGUCUGCGUCUGAUUAGCUAGUUGGUGGGGUAACGGCUUACCAAGGCGACGAUCAGUAGCCGGUCUGAGAGGAUGAACGGCCACAUUGGAACUGAGACACGGUCCAG
rnacentral:rRNA from 1 species